CUGGGGCGACCCGGGAGAGGGAGGGGUCCCGGUGGCGCAGGCUCCCCACCCCCCCCGGAAUCUGAAUUAAUUUAAGUGGACCUUCGGCGCGCCUGAGUGCUGUCCAGCCGGGCGGUAAUCAUCUACUGUUGUGGCCUUGGCGAACCUCUAGACACUGACUUCCAAACUUUCAGCUGAGCUCUCUGCUGAGGUCCAGACUUGCAUAACCAACUACUUAACUGAGACCACCACUGGGAGUCCUCAGAUCCAUCUCAAAUCCAUCCUGUAAGAAUGCUGUUUUCAUCUUCCUCCCUAACCAGCUUCUCAGACCUUUUCUUCAUCCCCCAACCAGAAUUAUGUUUUCUCCACUGUGUCUUAUAAUCGAUAUAAAACAACACACCAUGUAAA